AUUGAACGCUGGCGUCAGGCCUAACACAUGCAAGUCUAACGAGUGGCGGACGGGUGAGUAAUGUCUGGGAAACUGCCCGAUGGAGGGGGGUAACUACUGGAAACUGUAGCUAAUACCGCAUACCAUCGGAUGUGCCCACAUGGGAUUAGCUAGUAGGUGGGGUAACGGCUCACCUAGGCGACGAUCCCUAGCUGGUCUGAGAGGAUGACCAGCCACACUGGAACUGAGACACGGUCCAGACUCCUACGGGAGGCAGCAGUGGGGAAUAUUGCACAAUGGGCGCAAGCCUGAUGCAGCCAUGCCGCGUGUAUGAAGAAGGCCUUCGGGUUGUAAAGUACUUUCAGCGAGGAGGCGGUACUCGCAGAAGAAGCACCGGCUAACUCCGUGCCAGCAGCCGCGGUAAUAC
rnacentral:rRNA from 1 species